GGUGAGAUUGCCGAGCGGUCUAAGGCAACAGACUGGGGUAUCAUACCACUCAAGCACUACUAAUCUGGUCUCUUCGGGCGCGGGAGUUUGAAUCUCCCACUCAUUA